rnacentral:rRNA from 1 species
UACGUGGGGUGCAAGCGUUGUUCGGAAUUACUGGGCGUAAAGGGCGCGUAGGCGGAUAGUUUAGUCAGAGGUGAAAGCCCAGGGCUCAACCUUGGAACUGCCUUUGAUACUGGCUAUCUUGAGUUCGGGAGAGGUGAGUGGAAUGCCGAGUGUAGAGGUGAAAUUCGUAGAUAUUCGGCGGAACACCAGUGGCGAAGGCGACUCACUGGCCCGAUACUGACGCUGAGGCGCGAAAGCGUGGGGAGCAAACAGG